UUGGCUGAGAAUAUCUAGUACUUCAUUUUUGGUCUCUGAACGGUACUUGAUAACAAAGCAGUAUUACUGCCAGAAUGCACUCCACCCUGCAUGCCUGCAGAUUACUUACGAGGCAAACUCCUUAUGAGGCAGAAAGUGCUUCCAAUGUUCGAUGGCUUGCACCACAACAUAGAAUUCAAGGUCAGAUUUUUUAAAAAAAAAAUUAAAUUAAAUUCAAGGUCAUAGUUAAAAUUCGUUUUCUUGGCUUCAUUGGGUUGUUGUCUGAAACAUAGAGCAAGGGUGCUUUCAUUGGCUUAGGACUAUCCCUCAUGAGAUGCAUCACAAGUCAACUCAAAAAACUUGCUGAAGUUUGGAAUGUUUAGCCCUGAUAACUCUGGCAUUCUGAUGCUUAUUUCUUAGACUGCCUUCGGCACAAAAACCUGUCUUUCUUCGGCACCUAGUAAUCGGUGCCAUAAUUGAUAAUAUUGGAUAAAAACCAAAGUACGAAAGUGGAGAUAUUCUCAAUUUGAGCGGCUACAUAGGAUGCAUUCUUCUCUUCAGUCGAUAGCAAAUUGUUUUCUUGGGGUUUGGAACACAAAAUACCUACAUGGGAUGCAUUCUUCUCCUAGUUGAAAGCAAAUUGUUUUCGUGGGUUUGGAAUACAAAAUACCAAUUUGCUUUGAAUAGAUGUGCUUCAUAUUCAUCUAAACCAAUGAUUUUUUCUUGUUUCUGUAUAUAGCUUUAAUUUUUACUUCAUUUAUACGCAAUUAGGGAAAAUAUGAGGAAGCACUCAGGGAACGUACAAAAGCGUUAGAACUAAAUCCUAGCUUUGGUUAGGAGAGGAAAGGCUCAGGAAAAGCUUGAACGCUUUGAAGAGGCUAUUGCCGAUAAUAGAUAUGAAAAGGGUUUUGGAGUUGGAUUCUUCGAAGGGCCAAGCUAAGAAAGCCAUACGCCGGUUGGAGCCAUUGGUGGAGGAAAAGCGAGAAAAGAUGAAGGAGAGAUGUUGGUAAGCAUAAUUUUAUCUUUAAUAGAUUGACUUCUGGCUUCUAUGUGAAUCUCAAAACGAUUUUUUGGUACUUUGGCAAUCA